GACGAACGCUGGCGGCGUGCUUAACACAUGCAAGUCGAACGGAAAGGCCCUGCUUUUGUGGGGUGCUCGAGUGGCGAACGGGUGAGUAACACGUGAGUAACCUGCCCUUGACUUUGGGAUAACUUCAGGAAACUGGGGCUAAUACCGGAUAGGAGCUCCUGCUGCAUGGUGGGGGUUGGAAAGUUUCGGCGGUUGGGGAUGGACUCGCGGCUUAUCAGCUUGUUGGUGGGGUAGUGGCUUACCAAGGCUUUGACGGGUAGCCGGCCUGAGAGGGUGACCGGCCACAUUGGGACGGAGAUACGGCCCAGACUCCUACGGGAGGCAGCAGCGGGGAAUAUUGCACAAUGGGCGGAAGCCUGAUGCAGCAACGCCGCGUGCGGGAUGACGGCCUUCGGGUUGUAAACCGCUUGCGCCUGUGACGAAGCGUGAGUGACGGUAAUGGGUAAAGAAGCACCGGCUAACUACGUG
rnacentral:rRNA from 1 species